GACGAACGCUGGCGGCGUGCUUAACACAUGCAAGUCGAACGGAAAGGCCCUGCUUUUGUGGGGUGCUCGAGUGGCGAACGGGUGAGUAACACGUGAGUAACCUGCCCUUGACUUUGGGAUAACUUCAGGAAACUGGGGCUAAUACCGGAUAGGAGCUCCUGCUGCAUGGUGGGGGUUGGAAAGUUUCGGCGGUUGGGGAUGGACUCGCGGCUUAUCAGCUUGUUGGUGGGGUAGUGGCUUACCAAGGCUUUGACGGGUAGCCGGCCUGAGAGGGUGACCGGCAACAUUGGGACUGAGAUACGGCCCAGACUCCUACGGGAGGCAGCAGUGGGGAAUAUUGCACAAUGGGCGGAAGCAUGAUGCAGCAACGCCGCGUGCGGGAUGACGGCCUUCGGGUUGUAAACCGCUUUCGCCUGUGACGAAGCGUGAGUGACGGUAAUGGGUAAAGAAGCACCGGCUAACUACGUG
rnacentral:rRNA from 1 species